rnacentral:rRNA from 1 species
GUGAACGCUGGCGGCGUGCUUAAUACAUGCAAGUCGAACGAUGAAGUCCUAGCUUGCUAGGAUGGAUUAGUGGCGCACGGGUGAGUAAUAUAUAGUUAAUCUGCCUUGCACUGAGGAACAACAGUUGGAAACGAUUGCUAAUACCUCAUACUCCAACUUUACAUAAGUUAAGUUGGGAAAGUCUUUUCGGUGCAAGAUGAGACUAUAUCGUAUCAGCUAGUUGGUAAUGUAAUGGCUUACCAAGGCUAUGACGCGUAACUGGUCUGAGAGGAUGAUCAGUCACAUUGGAACUGAGACACGGUCCAAACUCCUACGGGAGGCAGCAGUAAGGAAUAUUGUGCAAUGGGGGAAACCCUGACGCAGCAACGCCGCGUGGAGGAUGACACUUUUCGGAGCGUAAACUCCUUUUGUUAGGGAAGAAUAAUGACGGUACCUAACGAAUAAGCACCGGCUAACUCCGUG